rnacentral:rRNA from 1 species
UACGGGGGGAGCAAGCGUUGUUCGGAUUUACUGGGCGUAAAGGGCGCGUAGGCGGCUCGUUGCGUCGGCUGUGAAAACCCGCAGCUCAACUGUGGGCUUGCAGCCGAUACGGGCGGGCUGGAGUUCGGUAGGGGAGACUGGAAUUCCUGGUGUAGCGGUGAAAUGCGCAGAUAUCAGGAGGAACACCGGUGGCGAAGGCGGGUCUCUGGGCCGAUACUGACGCUGAGGAGCGAAAGCGUGGGGAGCGAACAGG